AGCCCUAAUACACAAGAAGUAAAGAGGUGAGGGCCCUAAUACACAAGAGGUAAAGAGGUGAGGGCCCUAAUACACAAGAGGUAAAGAGGUGAGGGCCCUAAUACACAAGAGGUAAAGAGGUGAGGGCCCUAAUACACGAGACCUCACAGUUUGGCUCACUUUGCAUUUGACAAUUAUUGUGUAUGUUUUUAGUAAUUUCUUUGUAUUGUCUUGAUAAAUUGUCUUGUCCAAUGUAUCAUUGUCACUAGGUAUCCAGGUGAAAUUGACCUAUAUUUUAGUAAAACAGUGUUUUUGUUGACCAAAAUCAUCCUUCUUCUUUUACAAUUCAUCUGCUUUAGAUUCAUUUAUUGGUUCUGCUUUGACUGUCAAAUUACAAAGUAUACCCAUAGCAAUAAGCAGAUGUAUUCAAUUAUGUCAGUUAGGAGGCUUACAAUGCAGUUAAAUAAGUCUCUCCACAGAUGUCUUGUGACAUUUGCAUUUGAAAUAUUAGCAAAAGUCUGGACUAAUCAGAGAUUAAAUAGCUAAGGCAUGCCAUAAAAUGACAAACGGGCCUCUGUGAGAUCAUUCCACAACAAACCAAAAAGGAUUGGGUAUAAAACCAUAAUUUUUCUUCAAAUGUAGGCUUUUAAACAAUGGAUGGAAACUCAUGUCUCACUGUGUGCAUCUUCACUAUGACGAAAUAAUGUAUAGCAUUAUGUAGGAACCCUGUUUCAUACAAUGCCAUUGGUAGUUGUAAACAGGUAAAGCCCCUUCCUGUCAGGGCACACAGGGGCAUCAUUCGUAUCAUCUACUUCAUAUACUUGCAAAGUCCAACAUAAAGGCACUUCUGUCUUGAGUACAAAAUACUAUACUUUAAAAUAGCAUUAGGGUUUGUGGACUAGCACUUGAGGGUUAUAAAUUAAGCCAGGCUUGAUGUUUUGGUCUUAAAUUUGAAUACCUAAAAUGUGGUGUCCAAUCCACUACAAAUGUGGAACAAAUAUACAUCAGACUAGGGAGUUAGAGAGUUAACAGAAACAAACAGUUAACAGAAACAAAAUGUUCUUGACAUAUUUUAUCUUUUGCAUCACCAACCUGUCAACCCCUUGCAAAACAGCACAUUUUGCUAACGGAUGUCAUUUUUCCACCACAGAUGUAGCAGAAGAUGCAAUGCUAGAUGAGAUAAGGGGCUAUCACUGCCAGAACCUCACGUAUAGCACUUCUGUUUCAGUUUACCAUGAUGAAACUGGAUAAAAACAAGAUAGUGGUGUUGGUUAAUGUUUGUAUGCUUGCUCUUCAGACAGACACAUGUGUUCCAGAAAUAGAACUCCUUAAAGGUGGGCCUAUGUGAAGUAAUCGGACCCCCUGAGGGUAUACACCCCCAUGAAUAUACUGCUUCUAAUGACCUUUGUGGCAGACUGCCUGGUGAAAACAACAGGAUCUAGAAAUGGUGUCCACAGGAGAGGCCGUGUGAGAGAUGUGAUGACCACGGAGUAUGGCCAAAAAGUAGAAAUUUAUAAGAAGGGGGUACCUAUGUAAGGUGACAGAAUCAAGUAUUGAAGUCAAGUAUCCCUCGUAAUCCUAUGAUCGGGAAUUGUAAACAGACCCCUAUAUUAACAUUUUAUAUUUUAUUCACCAUUGUUAGGAAAAAGAGGGUAAGUACACAUUCAGAUGUAGUCUAGACAAAUAUGGGAACAUUUUCAAAAUAUGAGAUGUGGCAUCAGUUGAGUUUGUGGAGACACACAGAUUGAUUGGGUAACAAGUAGUGCCAGGGAAACCGAGAAGCUAUUAAUAUCAAUUAUUGACAAAGACAGAGUAAGUGUGAAAUGCUGGCUGUCAAAUCCAAAUUAUAUGCUUCAUUAAUCGAAUAGGCAAUGUUUGUCAUAUGUAGAGAACAUGUUUCAUAUAUUUAAAAUGCUGCUACCCAAAGUGUAUUACAUACCAUACCAUAAACACUAAUCAUCAUGUUCCUGAAAGCUUAGUGUAUGUUUUGUCUUUAUGUACAUUUCUAACUUUCUGGAGAAGGUCAUGUUUUUUCUAAGGUUGGUUGACAAACUUCAGCAUAACAUUUACCACUCAGCAUUUUUAGAUCACAUGUCAGCUCAGACGAAGACAAAAAACAUGUGUACUUGGAAAACUGAUAUUUUACAGACACUGGAUUUCUCAGAAGCAGAUCCCCUUGGGGUCACCUUCUGGAAAAAAGGUGAAAAAAAAAACCUUUGGUAUUUUAGGCACUUAGUAGGAUUUUGGCGGUUGGGAGGUGGGGGCAGUAGACCAAGGACAAAAAAAGAGAGGAACGUGUAUGACAAAGGAGAAUUUAUCGUUAUAGAAAGGUCUUCUGAGGGGGGGCUGAAAGAAAUAGACAGGCUGUGUUGGUCAUUAAUAGUUCAAGAGGGAUGGAGAUCUCAUCUAAAGGCCCCCACUCACAGUUCUGGCAGGGCAGGGGGCUGCAAGAUCACUGAGUGCUUCACCCACCCUCCCCCGACCAACUCUCUGCAUAAAUCAUCCCUCACAUUUUCACAACAUGCAUUUGUAAUGGUGUUUUUCAGCCUCUAUGCGAGAUCACAAAUAACAGCGUAGAUCACAGUCACACAUAUUCAUGCUAUUUCUUACAACCAAAAUUGACCAAUAACGUGGCUCAUUUAGAGAUGGAUCCUAGUUUUAAUUGAGUGAAUGGAAAGUGCAAGGAUUUCUGUCAUCAAACUUUUUUUUCAGAUCUGUACUGUGUGGUGAACAACAAAGUGGAGUAAUUCAAAGCGUUCCCCUUGAAAAAGAGAAGCUGGGGAGAGAUAAAAUGUUUAGUACAUUUUAAAGUUAAGUCAGAGCCUGGAGCGAAUCUUGGAUUCUGACAAAGAACUUUUUUCCCAUCUACUAUUUUUCAGCACCUUGGGAAUUAUAACCAGUAAGCAGUUUCCCCAGUUAGACUUUAAAACAUUGCCAAAAUCAUCUCAUGCAGAGGUCAACUUACACAAAAUAUAGUGUAAUUUUCCAAUAUUACCCUAAUUGUGUUGUAGAUGUGAGAGUUGGGUCAGAUGACACAAUGAUUAUGGGUGCUGUGGUGGGCCCUUCUCAAUGAGACUGUAAUUUGUAACAUAAAAGUAUGGAAUAAACCCAACAACACAGUACUUUACUUGGCACAUGGUCUGAUGUAAAUCAACCGGUAUUAACCAGGUGACUGUGUGUGCUUGAUUACUAAACCUAACCCAACAUGUAUUAACCAGAUGACUGCGUGCGUGCGUGCGUGUGUGUGUUUGAUUACUGCUGCAAAAUGGGGAUGGGGAGCACAAGCGGCUGACGUGUAAUUUAUUUUAUUUAUUUUUUUUUGUGUGGUGAGCUGAACUUCUCAGUCAGCUAUUGUUUUUGAAGCAAUGUCCACUGAGGUAAUGUUGUGGCUGGACUUUGGUCCGACUGACUGUCACCAUGUAUAAGUGCCUAGAUAUUCAGUUUCAAUGGAGGAAAUCUCUUUCAUGGUGUUCCUCCUAGAGAACCUAAAACCUUUGACCAAAAUAAUAGCUAGCUGUAGUCUGUACGGAGAGAGUGUGGAGAAUCCAUUACAUUAUAUCAUCUGUAAGAGAAAUUCAGCCAGGAGGGCUGUAAAAGCUUUUGGCUGCAACACAUCCUCCUGUUUAAAGAAAAUGUGUCAGACUCAGCCCUGUCUCCUUUAUUGUUUAUUUGUUAAUAUUUUAUUCAGACAAAUCACUUCUCAUCUAAUCAAACAUUCAUACCCUCAGCAUCUUCUCCACGGAGGUUUUGAUACUGUGUUAAAGUUAAGAAAUAACUAACGGUAAUGGAAACGACAGGCUGGUUUGUCACUGCAUCUUCUGUGCCUGCAACCUGAGGAUGACAGCUGUGAUGGGGAAAGCCGUCUGGAGGGAGUAAUGGCCAUUAGUUCCACUGUGAACAUCCGAGAGAUGGCAGCAGUGAAAUGGACGGCUUCCGUUCUGUAUUGUCACAUAUCGGAUGUGAGGGCUGACAGUUCACUCUGUAAGAUAUAUUAUUGCAAUGCUGCCAACCUGUGUUAAGCAUGUCUGCCAGGUGAGAUAGAGAAGCUUCCUAGCUGCUAGGUCUGUGACAUAUGACCUUCAAAGAGAAUGCUUCUGUAAUAUCACACACCACAAUUAUUUAAUUAAGCAAAUGCAUGAGACAGUACAAUGUACGCAGGGGCGGCGCCAGGGGGGGGGCUAGGGGGUGCUCUAGCUCCCCCUGGAUUAGCCAUAGCACCCCCAAGAAAAUAAUGGUUUAUUUAUUAUUGUUAUUUAAUUUCAUUCUGCGUUAUUUAUUGUGUGAUAAUAAUAUUUAACUCACAAAAGAAAAUAAUAACAGAUUGAAAUGAACAGAUUGUUUUAGAAACAGAGCAAUCAUUCUGUCAUAACCUUUGACCCAACUUUCACGUCGCAGGCUUGAAUGUUGACGUUACCGGACGGUUGAAGGAGAAAGCGAGCUAGUGCGUGGUAGUUUCAAGUGAAUAUCAACAAUGCAUCGGUUUUUGCUACCUUAAUGUCCAUGUUUGGAAGAACCAUUAAGAAACAAGAGUGACGUAGAAGAAGAAGAAGAAAUGCCAGGGGUAUCUGGUGUGUAUCAUGGUGCUAGCAGCAUCAGUGUCGUUAGCAUGAACGCUCAGAAUGGUCCGAGAAGACCAAAACUCCAGAAAUAUCCACCUUGCAUGUUUGGAGUCCAACAAAGGAGUUUUUGUAAAAGCUGGUUGGGACAGUUUGCGUGGUUGGAGUACAAUGCAACUAAGGUAUUGUUAGCUGUGUAACAUUAAUGAAAGCUGUCUGAUUUGUUGCAUGCAUUGAUUGCCCUGUGUCGCUGAAGACUCGUUUCGGUUGAUUAGCAACGAAGAUGCCCUUUUUUGCCGAAGAUUUUAACUUUUUGCCUUUUUCCUCUUUUUUGGAUUUAAAAAAAAAAAUCGCCUUUAAAAUAUCUGAAACUCUUUAGCCUAAGACAAGCAGUCUGUAUGUGUGCUAGGUAUACAUAAGGUUCUAUGUGAUUACUGAUGAUUGUGAACUGAAAUAAUAUAUACCUUUUUAACGCAUUUCUGACUCUUUGACUGUUUUAUUUAAUUAUAUCUGCUAUUCCAAGAUUAAUGUCACUCUAUCUGACAUGGUAGUGGCCACCUGUCGCCCAACUUUAAUCCUCACUACCACAAGUGUUUUAAAGUAAGUUAGGUAUUUGGGAUUGCGGACUCUAUAACAUGCUGUAUGCCUUUUGUCAGUGACCGUCGCAGAUGUGCGCGUCUGUCGGAAUAAUAAUACAAUCGGUUUGUUUAGCGCUUUUCAUGGACCACAGAGAGCAAACAUGUAAAGUUGUUGUAGUAGAGAACCAUGUGACACAUAGGCUAUCAUCCUCAUUUCAUAGCACCCUCACUAAAACGCCAAGCUCCCCCAUAGCACCUGCAGAAAAAAAUGUCUGGCGCCGCCACUGAAUGUACGUCAUAUGAGUAGCGUGGCGAGCUAGUGCAGAGGGAGGGAGAGGCCAGGUUAAAGGCACCGCACAACCUCCUGUGACCCAUACACCGCGCAACCGCCUGUGCCCCAUACACUGCACAACCUCCUGUGCCCCAUACACUGCACAACCUCCUGUGCCCCAUACACGAGAACACAUGCUA
ensembl:lncRNA